UUUCCGUAGGUGAACCUGCGGAAGGAUCAUUAAAAAAUUGGACUCCAUUGGUGAGUUCAUUAAUAAUCCCUACCCUUUGUGAAUUUGUUUGUUUGAAUAAUUUUUUUUCCAAAAAAAAUUAUUGAAUGUCUUUCCUUGUUUUGGUGGAGCUUGUAAAGUGAAACCAGGCAGGGGAAUGGCAAACAAUAAUUAUUUUUGAAAAAGACCUUUUUUUAAAAUUAAACUUUUUGUAUUCAUUUGUCUAAAAUUAAUUUUUAUAAUAUAAAAACAACUUUUGACAAUGGAUCUCUUGGUUCUCGCAACGAUGAAGAACGCAGCAAAAUGCGAUAAGUAGUGUGAAUUGCAGAAUACGUGAAUCAUCGAAUCUUCGAACGCAUAUUGCACUUUUUAGUUUACUAAAAAAGUAUGUCUGUUUGAGUAUCAGUAAAAUAUUCUCAUAAAAAACAUUGUUUUUUUUAUGGUUAUGAGUGUUUUACAACGAUAACAAGUUGUUUCACUUUAAAUUCUUUGUUAUCAAAAAAAUCAUUAAAAGCUAAUUUUAAAGAUUUUUAAAAUUGGAUAAAAUUUUCCCGUAAAAAGGAAUAACCUAAACAAUUUUAAAAAUUAAAAUUGGUUUGAUUUUUUUUGAAACCCAAAGGAAAAAAAAACGAAAUUAACUUGAUCUCAAAUCAGAUAAGAGUACCCGCUGAACUUAAGCAUAUCAAUAAGCGGAGGAAAAGAAACUAACUAGGAUUCCCUCAGUAACGGCGAGUGAAGCGGGAAGAGCUCAAAUUUGAAAUCUUCAAGGUUUUACCUUGACGAAUUGUAGUUUAAAGAAGUGUUUUCUGUUGGAGUUUUGGUAAAAGUUCUUUGGAAAAGGACAUCAUAGAGGGUGAGAAUCCCGUAUUUGACCAUUAUCUCCAGCUUUGUGAUACACUUUCAAAGAGUCGGAUUGUUUGGGAAUGCAGUCCAAAAUGGGUGGUAAAUUUCAUCUAAAGCUAAAUACUGGCGAGAGACCGAUAGCGAACAAGUACCGUGAGGGAAAGAUGAAAAGAACUUUGAAAAGAGAGUUAAACAGUACGUGAAAUUGUCAAAAGGGAAGCGUUUGACACCAGUGUUGUUUUCUCGAAAAUCAAUUAAAAAAGGCCGGAUUUUGUGUUGUAUUGACUUUAUCAGCUUUCUGCACUCUUUUCUUGUCUUUUUUAAUGCACUUUUCGUUUAACAAGUCAACAUCAAUUUCUUUUGUUGUAAAAGGGUCAUUGGAAGGUGGCUUUCUUUUCGGAGAAAGUGUUUAUAGCCUUUGGCCUCUGCAAUCGGAGAGAUUGAGGUCUGCAGCGUAGAUCCUUCGGGGUUAGAUACAUUUGUGCUAAGUUAUAGCCUUUCAUAGACAACUUGUUGACUAUGAUCAGUCAUGUAGCUUACUCGCUUAUGCUAUUU
rnacentral:misc_RNA from 1 species